AGAGUUUGAUUUUGAAUUUGGACUAAGCGCUGGGGCCUUCMUUAACGCAUGCAAUACGAGCGUCAGGCCCUUCGGGGAACAUAMGCCCUACACGGGUGAGUAACCCGUGGUSACGUGCCGAUAGCUCUGGAAUAAACCUGGGUAAGUGGGUMUAACACCGGAUAUGAMUCCAYAGUGCAUGCUUAURGGAUGGAAUCCUUGUGCGGCUAUGAGAUGGUCCCGCGGCCYAUCUARCUUGUUGGUGGGGAGAUGGCCUACCAAGGUGACGACGGGUAGUCGGCCUGAGAGGAGRUCMGSCCCCUCUKGGACURAGACGSGGCCCAGCCUCCUACGGGAGGCAGCAGUGGGGAWUCUUGCGCAAUGGUCGAAAGCCUGCGCAGCGACUCMRCUUGAGGGAAGACGKCCUUCGGGUUGUAAACCUCUUUCAGCUCGGRGGAAGCSGHAGUUACGGUAGGAGCAGAAGAARCACCGGCCAACUACKUGCCAGCSRCCGCGGUAAUACGUAGGGUGCGAGYGUUGUCCGSAUUUAUUKGGCGUAAAGAKCUSGUAGGUGGCUUGUSGARUCGGUCGUGAAAUCUYACAKCUUCACUGUGAGCYURCGAUCGGUAMGGGCGAUCUUGAGUACGGUAGGGGAGAMUGGAAUUCCUGGUGUAUGCGGUSGAAUGCGCAGAUAUCAGGGGGAACYCUGGUGGCGAAGGYGGGUCUCUGGGCCGAUACWGUCGCUGAGGAGCGAAAGCGUGGGGAGCGAACAGGAUUAGAUACCCUGGUAGUCCACGCCGUAAACGUUGGGCGCUAGGUGUGGGAUCCCUUCCACGGGWUCCGUGCCGCAAGCUAAACGCAUUAAGCGCCCCGCCUGGGGAGUAUCGGCCGCAAGUCURAAACUCAAAUGAAUUGACGGGG
rnacentral:rRNA from 1 species